UCAAGUCAGCAUGGCCUUUAUAUCCUGGGCUACACACACGCUACAAUGGGAAGGGACAAUAGGUUGCGAAGCCGCGAGGCGGAGCCAAUCCAGCAAAACUUCCUCAGUUCAGAUUGCAGGCUGCAACUCGCCUGCAUGAGGUUGGAGUUGCUAGUAAACGCAGGUCAGCCAUACUGCGUUGAAUACGGUUCCCGGGGCUU
rnacentral:rRNA from 1 species